rfam:Mus musculus chromosome 2, GRC primary reference assembly.
CCCAAGGUCCUUCUUAGGACCACCAGUGAGUGGAACACAAUUUCU